rnacentral:rRNA from 1 species
UACGGAGGGUGCAAGCGUUGUCCGGAAUCACUGGGCGUAAAGGCGCGUAGGCGGCUCAUGAAGGCUGUGGUGAAAGUCCGGGGCUCAACCUCGGAUCGGCCGUGGCGACUCGUGGGCUGGAGCACUGUAGAGGCGGGUGGAAUUCCGGGUGUAGCGGUGGAAUGCGUAGAGAUCCGGAAGAACACCAGUGGCGAAGGCGGCCCGCUGGGCAGUGGCUGACGCUGAGGCGCGACAGCGUGGGGAGCAAACAGG